rnacentral:rRNA from 1 species
UCGGGAAUUUUGGGCAAUGGGGGCAACCCUGACCCAGCAACGCCGCGUGAGGGAUGAAGGCCCUCGGGUCGUAAACCUCUGUCAGAAGGGAAGAAUGGUCUGCGGGCGAAUAGUCCGGGGACCCGACGGUACCUUCAAAGGAAGCGCCGGCUAACUCCGUGCCAGCAGCCGCGGUAAUACGGAGGGCGCAAGCGUUGUUCGGAAUCAUUGGGCGUAAAGCGCGUGUAGGCGGCUUGGCAAGUCGGGUGUGAAAGCCCGGGGCCCAACCCCGGAACUGCAUUCGAAACUGCCUGGCUAGAGUCCCGGAGAGGAAGGCGGAAUUCCCGGUGUAGAGGUGAAAUUCGUAGAUAUCGGGAGGAACACCAGCGGCGAAGGCGGCCUUCUGGACGGUGACUGACGCUGAGACGCGAAAGCGUGGGGAGCAAACAGGAUUAGAUACCCCCGUAGUCC